GUUGUUGUGGUGUAGUGGUUUGAGCAUUGGACUAUGACUCUGGAGAACAGGGUUCGAAUCCCCACUCGGCCAUG
rnacentral:tRNA from 1 species